UACGAAGGGUGCAAGCGUUACUCGGAAUUACUGGGCGUAAAGCGUGCGUAGGUGGUUUGUUAAGUCUGAUGUGAAAGCCCUGGGCUCAACCUGGGAAUUGCAUUGGAUACUGGCAGGCUAGAGUGCGGUAGAGGGUGGUGGAAUUCCCGGUGUAGCAGUGAAAUGCGUAGAGAUCGGGAGGAACACCAGUGGCGAAGGCGACUACCUGGACCAGCACUGACACUGAGGCACGAAAGCGUGGGGAGCAAACAGG
rnacentral:rRNA from 1 species